rnacentral:rRNA from 1 species
UACAGAGGGGGCAAGCGUUAUUCGGAAUUAUUGGGCGUAAAGGGCGCGUAGGCGGCUUUGCAAGUGGCGGGUGAAAUCCCUCGGCUUAACCGAGGAACUGCCUGUCAAAACUGCAUGGCUUGAGACCAGGAGAGGUGAGUGGAAUUCCCAGUGUAGCGGUGAAAUGCGUAGAUAUUGGGAGGAACACCAGUGGCGAAGGCGGCUCACUGGACUGGUACUGACGCUGAUGCGCGAAAGCGUGGGGAGCAAACAGG